rnacentral:rRNA from 1 species
CGGUAAUUCCAGCUCCAAUAGCGUAUAUUAAAGUUGUUGCGGUAAAAAAGCUCGUAGUUGGAUUUCUGUUGAGGGUGACCGGUCCGCACCAUGUGCGCGCAUCUGGUUCAGCCUCGGCAUCCUCUCGAUAGACGUUUCUGCGCUUUGUUGCGUGGAGCGGAUUUCGGGACUUUUACUUUGAGGAAAUUAGAGUGUUCACGGCAGGCUAUCGCCAGAAUACAUUAGCAUGGAAUAAUACUAUAGGAUCUUGAGCCUAUUUUGUUGGUUUCUAGACUUGAGAUAAUGAUUAAUAGGGACAAUUGGGGGCAUUCGUAUCAACACGUCAGAGGUGGAAUUCUUGGAUUGUGUUGCGACGAACUACUGCGAAAGCAUUUGCCAAGGAUGUUUUCAUUGAUCAAGAACGAAAGUAAGGGGAUCGAAGACGAUUAGAUACCGUCGUAGUCUUUACCAUAAACUAUGCCAACUCAGGAUGGGUCAUCGUUCACUUACGACUUGAUCCGCACUGUAUGAGAUAUCAAAGUUUUUGGGUUCCGGGGGGAGUAUGGUCGCAAGGCUGAAACUUAAAGGAAUUGACGGAAGGGCACCACCAGGAGUGGAGCCUGCGGCUUAAUUUGACUCAACACGGGGAAACUCACCAGGUCCAGACAUAAUAAGGAUUGACAGAUUGAUAGCUCUUUCUUGAUUUUAUGGGUGGUGGUGCAUGGCCGUUCUUAGUUCGUGGAGUGAUUUGUCUGCUUAAUUGCGUUAACGAACGAGACCUUAACCUGCUAAAUAGAAGCGCAUAUCUUCGGAUAAGCGCCUUUCUUCUUAGAGGGACUUUAUGCGUUUCAGCAUGAGGAAGUUUGAGGCUAAAACAGGUCUGUGAUGCCCUUAGAUGUUCUGGGCUGCACGCGCGCUACACUGAUGCGUUCAACGAGUGUACAACCUUGCCCGAUAGGGUUGGGUAAUCUUUUGAACACGCAUCGUGAUGGGGAUAGAUUAUUGCAAUUAUUAAUCUUCAACGAGGAAUUCCUAGUAAUGAUGGUUCAUCAGACCAUCGUGAUUACGUCCCUGCCCUUUGUACACACCGCCCGUCGCUCCUACCGAUUGAGCAAUCCGGUGAAUAUUUCGGACCGAAACUCGGUGGGGCAACCUGCUCGGGAUUUGGAAAGUCAAGUAAACCUUAUUGCUUAGAGGAAGGAGAAGUCGUAACAAGGUAACC